rnacentral:rRNA from 1 species
AGGGGGAUAACUACUGGAAACGGUAGCUAAUACCGCAUGACCUCGCAAGAGCAAAGUGGGGGACCUUCGGGCCUCACGCCAUCGGAUGUGCCCAGAUGGGAUUAGCUAGUAGGUGAGGUAAUGGCUCACCUAGGCGACGAUCCCUAGCUGGUCUGAGAGGAUGACCAGCCACACUGGAACUGAGACACGGUCCAGACUCCUACGGGAGGCAGCAGUGGGGAAUAUUGCACAAUGGGCGCAAGCCUGAUGCAGCCAUGCCGCGUGUGUGAAGAAGGCCUUAGGGUUGUAAAGCACUUUCAGCGAGGAGGAAGGGUUCAGUGUUAAUAGCACUGUACAUUGACGUUACUCGCAGAAGAAGCACCGGCUAACUCCGUGCCAGCAGCCGCGGUAAUACGGAGGGUGCAAGCGUUAAUCGGAAUUACUGGGCGUAAAGCGCACGCAGGCGGUUUGUUAAGUCAGAUGUGAAAUCCCCGAGCUUAACUUGGGAACUGCAUUUGAAACUGGCAAGCUAGAGUCUUGUAGAGGGGGGUAGAAUUCCAGGUGUAGCGGUGAAAUGCGUA